rnacentral:rRNA from 1 species
UACAGAGGUCUCAAGCGUUGUUCGGAUUCAUUGGGCAAAGGGUGCGUAGGCGGCGCGGUAAGUCGGGUGUGAAAUUUCGAGGCUUAACUUCGAAACUGCAUUCGAUACUGCCGUGCUUGAGGACUGGAGAGGAGACUGGAAUUUACGGUGUAGCGGUGAAAUGCGUAGAUAUCGUAAGGAAGACCAGUGGCGAAGGCGGGUCUCUGGACAGUUCCUGACGCUGAGGCACGAAGGCCAGGGGAGCAAACGGG